rnacentral:rRNA from 1 species
AUGAUGAGCAUGAUGGCCGAUUUGAGCUGCGGAGCUUCCGGUGUGACCGUGAAUGACCAUCAGCUGGCCGCUCCGGCUCCGGAGGACUCGGCGGCGGCGGGGAGCGAGAAGAUGGGGAGGGGCCGGAUCGAGAUCAAGCGCAUCGAGAACACCACCAACCGGCAGGUCACCUUCUGCAAGCGCCGCAACGGCCUCCUGAAGAAGGCGUACGAGCUCUCGGUGCUCUGCGACGCCGAGGUGGCCCUCAUCGUCUUCUCCAGCCGCGGCCGCCUCUACGAGUACUCCAACAACAGUGUGAAAGCUACCAUUGAGAGGUACAAAAAGGCCAACAGUGACACAUCCAACUCUGGCACGGUUGCAGAAGUCAAUGCCCAGUACUACCAGCAGGAGUCCUCCAAGCUGCGCCAGCAGAUCAGUAGCUUGCAAAACUCAAACAGUAGGUCGCUGGUGAGGGACUCUGUCAGCACCAUGACCCUGAGGGAUCUUAAGCAGCUAGAAGGCAGGCUGGAGAAAGGCAUAGCCAAGAUAAGAGCUAGAAAGAAUGAGCUGAUGUAUGCUGAAGUUGAGUAUAUGCAGAAGAGGGAAAUGGAGCUACAGAAUGAUAACAUUUACCUGAGGAGCAAGGUGUCUGAGAAUGAGAGGGGUCAGCAGCCGGUGAACAUGAUGGCGUCAGGGUCGGCGAGCAGCGAAUACGAUCACAUGGUCUCACCGUAUGAUUCCAGAAACUUCCUGCAGGCGAACAUCAUGCAGCAGCAGCAGCAGCAUUACUCCCAACAGCUGCAGCCAACUGCCCUUCAGCUCGGCCAGCAGUACUUCAACUAG